rnacentral:lncRNA from 1 species
UUGCCAUUUAAAUCAUUUAAGUAAACUACAGAAAUUUGGAAGAGAGACAGUGUUUGUGACAUCAAAGUCCCUACUUUCUGCCCCCUCCCCCUUUUUACCCCCAAAAUAGGCUCCAUGCCCAGCAUGGAGCUGAAUGUGGGGCUUGAACUCACAACCUUGAGCUGAGAUCAAGAGUCAGAGCUUUAAAAAUUAAAAAAAAAAAAAAAAAAAAAAAGGGAUCCCUGGGUGGCGCAGCAGUUUGGUGCCUGCCUUUGGCCCAGGGCGCGAUCCUGGAGACCCGGGAUCAAAUCCCACAUCGGGCUCCCGGUGCCUGGAGCCUGCUUCUCCCUCUGCCUAUGUCUCUGCCUCUCUCUCUCUCUCUGUGACUAUCAUAAAUAAAUAAAAAUUAAAAAAAAAAAAAAGUCAGAGCUUAACCCACUGAGCCACCCAAGCAUCCUCAAAUCCCUGCCUGUGCUGCUGUGCUGUGUCCCCUGGUACUGCUCUCAAUGGAGGAGUACAAAGAAACGUUGAGGCAGUGGUGGUGGUUUAAAUUAAACUUCCAGGGAGUGCUAGGUUUCUAAGGACAGACAGUAAAAUAUUCAUGUAUAAGGAAGAAAUUGUGCUGAGACAUGCUGCAGGGAAUGUGGCGGAUGUUGUGGCAAGCAUUCCUCCUGGAACUGGAAGCAUUCAUUCAUUCCCCCAACAGCUGGCAGGUUAGAACCACCUCACCCAAGAGCAGCUCACACAGAUUAAUUACUUAAUGCGGGAUGAAGGCCUAAAUCCCUUGCCUCAACUCUGAAGGGUCACCCGGUUCCAGAAUUCUGUUACAACUGCAUCUCCUCCAUCUUCAGCCUGAUCCUAUUUCCUUUGCUCCUUGGUACACCUUCCACAUGCAAGUUUCCAUUUCAUCGUCUAUUUCUCAGGAAAGAGGCCUAUAAGGCAAUAGGAAAUAUAACAAAACACAAUAUGGUAUAUAACAAUGAUAUGAGGGAGAUAAAACUCUGCUUGGAGAAAACCUUGAAUUCCAUGCUAGGGAAUUUGGACUUUAUCCUGUGAAACAAUGGUUUCCAGGGUGGCUACAAGAAUACUCAGGGGUACAGAAAGAAAACAUUAUUUUUCAUAUUUAUACAAAUGUCUACUCUUCAGUUUUAUAAUAUAGAAAAUAUAUUAGUGAAGUAGUACAAACACACAAGGAUACUUUGGUAUGUGCUCUAAUUUUUUUUAAUAGAUGUGUGCAAUCAAAAAUUGAGACCACAGUUAUUGACCCUGGGAACAAAACACAGUUUUGGUUUUGUUUUUGAGUUUCUUUUGAGAAUAAAGAUAUGCACAAGAUAAAAAUUAGAAUAGUGGUUCUCAACCUUCAACCCAGGAGAAUUACCUGGGAACUACUAAACAAUAUUGAUGGUCAGGCCCCACCCCAAACCAAUUUAUCAUUCUCUGGGGGUGCGAACAAAUAUCAGUAUUUUUCUUUGCCUUUGAUGAUUCUGAAAAAAGAUUUCAAUUACCUUUAUGUUGACUUCAAACUUUCUAAUUGAUUAACUUUUUCUUUCCAGCUUCUCCUUCAACUCAGGCAAAAGACCCAAUAGGCAAAGCAUCCCUUGAUGGGAACCAAAACUACCCCCUCAAGCGUUAAGAACUGCCUCGAGCCAGCAAGACCCAUGUGGAUUGACCCCAAGACAGUGGUAGAUUUGGCUUUACUGCCCACCUGCAUGGACUCGCCCACCUCUGCCACACAUUUUCCUAAUAUAAACCUGAAAGUGUUAUCAGCACUUUGGAGACAGUCUUUGAGGGCUUAAUCCACUGUCUUCCUGGUUUUGGCCUCACUGAAAUCCCUUUUUCGCUUCACCACCACUUGUUUCUCUGCCUUUGGAUUUUGUCACAGGCAAUGUCCAUUUGGGACCCCCAGAGCCAGGUACUCUUGCACCCCGGCAUCCCAGCUACAGUUCUAAUGUUCUGGGGUUAAGAACCACCGAUUAAGACUUAGAAUUAAAGUUUGAUCUGAAUUGGCCAAUAAAACAUUAUAAUUCUUUGGGAGAGAGAGACAGACAUAGACACAGACACAGCAACAGAGAUGGAGAGAGAGAGCACAAGAGGGGAGGAGAAUGAGAAGCAGGCUCCCCUCUGAGCAGUGAACCCAAAGCAGGGCUUGAUCCCAGGACCCUGGGAUCAUAACCUGAGCCAAAGGCAGAUGCUUAACCAACUGAGACACCCAGGAGCCGCAAAACAUAAUUCAAGCUAUUAAAGAUCCUUAAAAAGUAACCAUCUAGUUACAGGGGAAUACAAGCUCAAGAUUUAAGAAAUGCUUUCACCUUAAGUAUUAGAUCUGUAUUGGAAAUAAACGUGGUUAUUUUCUCCACAUUUUGUUUACUUCCUUAUAAAUCCUAGCAGUCCUACAAGUGGGAAGAAAAGAGCAACACACCCAUUAAGCAAACCUUUCAUGUUAAACCACUUUCUUAUCUGCUAGAAUAUGAGUGAGCUCUCAGCCUCUCAGCUUGUUUUCCAAGUUUACACAAUAAUAAAAUACACACAAUGACCCUCUUACUCUUCCUCACCAGCUGAUUAAUACUGAUUAGCUUUGAAAUGCAAAUAGCCCUAUCAAAUAGCAAGCUGCUAGUCCUGGCCUGGGCUAAAACUGUAUUGGAGUGAAAGCCAAAACCAUUUGAUGCAAAGACAAUAUAGUCCAGCUAAAGGCUCCUCAGAGAUCUCCCAUGAUUUCAGGAUUAUAUUCAGGAUAUGAAAUUCUUUGUACUGACAAAACAUUAUCUUUACUCCUAAAUGCAUUAACCCUUUGCUGAUCAUUAGCUGAAUUUUCAAAGCAAAGAUAAUGCUUUCAGCAUUUGUGUUUACAACAAAAAUGACCAGUAACAGCAUGAGAGAGAAUUUGUACAGAACAAUCUAGGCAAUUACGUUAGGACCACUAUUUGUCUUAAACAGAGAGUAACAACUUUAAAGCAGCCGUAUACCUUUGAGAUUACCUAAUUAAUUCACCCUCUCCAGUUUACAGAUAAGCGCCAAGAUCUAGCAUGCCUUUCCCAGGUCGGUAUUUGGGUUGGAGGAAACGGGGUUGGGCUGCCGAAUGUAAAUUCCUGGUGGGGUGGAAACUGGCCUGGCAUGGUCAGGCGGGUGUCAAACCAGCUGGAGUCCCUGGCCUGAAAUUCAAGGCUCCCAAGGAAGGAGGAGAGGCUAAGCAGGGCCUAAAACAGGAUAUCAAGACUAGGGCUGAUUUCUCAAAGCAGCAGGAGGGGAGGAGGCUGCGGUCAGGUCCCCUGGCAGCCCACAAUAAGCCCCCCAGAGAGCCAGGUGCUCAGGUCAAACUGGGCAUUCCUCUGGGGCCACUGAUGCCAAGAAACCAGAUUAACAUCUCAGUGGGAUAGUUUAGAAAUGAUUUAGGCUUUCGAUAGAAAAACAAUGCCUGCCACAAGCUAGGGAAGCCCCAUCCUGUUCCUUUCUCCUUAAAAAUAUGUACUAUUAAAAUUAUCUUCCUGGUGGUUGCCAGGGGCGGAGGGAAGGGGAAAAUGGGGAGUUAAUGUUUAAUUGGUGCAGCUUCAGUUGGGGAAGAUGAGUAAGGUAGAAACGGAGGGGAGUAAUGGUUGCAUGAUACUGUGACUGUCUUGCUGCCACCGAAUCACUUACAAAGGGUCUCUGCCUCUCUCUCUCUCUGUGUGACUAUCAUAAAUAAAUUAAAAAAAAUUAAAAAAAAUUAAAAAAAA